rnacentral:rRNA from 1 species
CCCCUACGGGAGGCAGCAGUGGGGGGUAUUGCACAAUGGGGGAAACCCUGAUGCAGCGAUGCCGCGUGGAGGAAGAAGGUUUUCGGAUUGUAAACUCCUUUUAUCAGGGACGAUAAUGACGGUACCUGAAGAAAAAGCUCCGGCUAACUACGUGCCAGCAGCCGCGGUAAUACGUAGGGGGCAAGCGUUAUCCGGAUUUACUGGGUGUAAAGGGAGCGUAGACGGAGGAGCAAGUCUGAUGUGAAAAUCCGGGGCCCAACCCCGGAACUGCAUUGGAAACUGUUUAUCUAGAGUGUCGGAGAGGC